rnacentral:rRNA from 1 species
CAGCCGCCACGGUAAUACGUAGGUGGCAAGCGUUGUCCGAAAUUAUUGGGCGUAAAGGGCUCGCAGGCGGUUUCUUAAGUCUGAUGUGAAAGCCCCCGGCUCAACCGGGGAGGGUCAUUGGAAACUGGGAAACUUGAGUGCAGAAGAGGAGAGUGGAAUUCCACGUGUAGCGGUGAAAUGCGUAGAGAUGUGGAGGAACACCAGUGGCGAAGGCGACUCUCUGGUCUGUAACUGACGCUGAGGAGCGAAAGCGUGGGGAGCGAACAGGAUUAGAGACCCCUGUAGUCCCUGUCUCUUAUAC